rnacentral:rRNA from 1 species
UGGGGAAUUUCCGCAAUGGGCGAAAGCCUGACGGAGCAACGCCGCGUGAGGGACGAAGGCCUCUGGGCUGUAAACCUCUUUUCUCAAGGACGCAGAUAUGACGGUACUUGAGGAAUAAGCCACGGCUAAUUCCGUGCCAGCAGCCGCGGUAAUACGGGAGUGGCAAGCGUUAUCCGGAAUUAUUGGGCGUAAAGCGUCCGCAGGCGGCUUUUCAAGUCUGCUGUUAAAGCGUGGAGCUUAACUCCAUCAUGGCAGUGGAAACUGAAAGGCUUGAGUAUGGUAGGGGCAGAGGGAAUUCCCGGUGUAGCGGUGAAAUGCGUAGAUAUCGGGAAGAACACCAGUGGCGAAGGCGCUCUGCUGGGCCAUUACUGACGCUCAUGGACGAAAGCCAGGGGAGCGAAAGGGAUUAGAUACCCCUGUAGUCA